AGUGAACGCUGGCGGUAGGCCUAACACAUGCAAGUCGAACGGCAGCACAGGAGAGCUUGCUCUCUGGGUGGCGAGUGGCGGACGGGUGAGGAAUACAUCGGAAUCUACUCUGUCGUGGGGGAUAACGUAGGGAAACUUACGCUAAUACCGCAUACGACCUACGGGUGAAAGCAGGGGAUCUUCGGACCUUGCGCGAUUGAAUGAGCCGAUGUCGGAUUAGCUAGUUGGCGGGGUAAAGGCCCACCAAGGCGACGAUCCGUAGCUGGUCUGGGAGGAUGAGCAGCCACACUGGAACUGAGACACGGUCCAGACUCCUACGGGAGGCAGCAGUGGGGAAUAUUGGACAAUGGGCGCAAGCCUGAUCCAGCCAUACCGCGUGGGUGAAGAAGGCCUUCGGGUUGUAAAGCCCUUUUGUUGGGAGAGAAAUCCAGCUGGCUAAUACCCGGUUGGGAUGACGGUACCCAAAGAAUAAGCACCGGCUAACUUCGUGCCAGCAGCCGCCGCCG
rnacentral:rRNA from 1 species